rnacentral:rRNA from 1 species
UGGGGAAUAUUGGGCAAUGGGCGAAAGCCUUACCCAGCAAUGCCGCGUGAGUGAAGAAGGUCUUCGGAUUGUAAAGCUCUUUGAUCAGGGACGAACACAAUGACGGUACCUGAAGAACAAGCCCCGGCUAACUACGUGCCAGCAGCCGCGGUAAUACGUAGGGGGCAAGCGUUGUCCGGAAUUACUGGGCGUAAAGGGAGCGUAGGCGGUUAAUUAAGUUAGAUGUGAAAUACCCGGGCUUAACUUGGGGGGUGCAUCUAAUACUGGUAAACUAGAGUACAGGAGAGGAAAGCGGAAUUCCUAGUGUAGCGGUGAAAUGCAUAGGAUAUUAGGAGGAACAUCGGU